UACAGAGGGGGCAAGCGUUGUUCGGAAUUACUGGGCGUAAAGGGCGCGUAGGCGGCCUUCUAAGUCGAACGUGAAAUCCCCGGGCUCAACCCGGGAACUGCGUCCGAGACUGAAAGGCUUGAAUCCGGGAGAGGGAUGUGGAAUUCCAGGUGUAGCGGUGAAAUGCGUAGAUAUCUGGAGGAACAUCGGUGGCGAAGGCGGUUCUCUGGGCAUUACCUGACGCUGAGGAGCGAAAGUGUGGGGAGCGAACAGG
rnacentral:rRNA from 1 species